UACGUAGGCAGCAAGCGUUGUUCGGAGUUACUGGGCGUAAAGAGUCUGUAGGCGGUGCUCUAAGUUUGGUGUGAAAUCUCCCGGCUUAACCGGGAGGGUGCGCCGAAGACUGGGGUGCUGGAGUCUGGGAGAGGAAAGCGGAAUUCCUGGUGUAGCGGUGAAAUGCGCAGAUAUCAGGAGGAACACCGGUGGCGAAGGCGGGUCUCUGGGCCGAUACUGACGCUGAGGAGCGAAAGCGUGGGGAGCGAACAGG
rnacentral:rRNA from 1 species